UCGAGAAUCUUUCGCAAUGGGCGAAAGCCUGACGAAGCGACGCCGUGUGAACGAAGAAGGCCUUAGGGUUGUAAAGUUCUUUCGCUGGGGAACAAGAGAGACUGGCUAACAUCCAGUUAAUUUGAUGGUACUCGGUAAAGAAGCACCGGCUAACUCCGUGCCAGCAGCUGCGGUAAUACGGAGGGUGCAAGCAUUGAUCGGAAUUAUUGGGCGUAAAGGGCGCGUAGGCGGCUAGAUAAGUCAGAUGUGAAAUUCCGGGGGCUCAACCCCGGGGCUGCAUUUGAAACUGUCCAGCUAGAGUAUAGUUAGGGAAAACGGAAUUCCACGUGUAGCGGUGAAAUGCGUAGAUAUGUGGAAGAACACCGGUGGUGAAGACGGUUUUCUAGGCUAAAACUGACGCUGAGGCGCGAAAGCUAGGGGAGCAAACA
rnacentral:rRNA from 1 species